rnacentral:rRNA from 1 species
GACGAACGCUGGCGGCGUGCUUAACACAUGCAAGUCGAACGGAAAGGCCCUGCUUUUGUGGGGUGCUCGAGUGGCGAACGGGUGAGUAACACGUGAGUAACCUGCCCUUGACUUUGGGAUAACUUCAGGAAACUGGGGCUAAUACCGGAUAGGAGCUCCUGCUGCAUGGGGGGGGUUGGAAAGUUUCGGCGGUUGGGGAUGGACUCGCGGCUUAUCAGCUUGUUGGUGGGGUAGUGGCUUACCAAGGCUUUGACGGGUAGCCGGCCUGAGAGGGUGACCGGCCACAUUGGGACUGAGAUACGGCCCAGACUCCUACGGGAGGCAGCAGUGGGGAAUAUUGCACAAUGGGCGGAAGACUGAUGCAGCAACGCCGCGUGCGGGAUGAAGGCCUUCGGGUUGUAAACCGCUUUCGCCUGUGACGAAGCGUGAGUGACGGUAAUGGGUAAAGAAGCACCGGCUAACUACGUG